UGGACGCUUAGAAGAGAACGUUGUGCAGACACUAAUGGUUCAGAUUGUCCGGUCUGCAAAGGAGUGUAUAGACCAUGGGGUUUACCACGGAGACAUAAAUUCGAAAAACAUUCAAUACAGCAUCCUUGAAGAUAAAGCUGAUUGACUUUGGAUGUGGACGACGAAUCGGUGAACCAGAAAUGUACCCAGAUCCUGAAACCAGGAUACCCUUACAAGAAAAAAGAUGGACUCUCUCGGUUGUAUUCUGGGCUCGAUGAUUCGAUCAGCCCACAUCCGUGUACCCGAAGAAAGCAGAAGGUGGUGACAAGGAGGAAGUUUAAAAUGGGUCUGAUCCACGGACACCAGGUGAUCCUCUGAGGUGACAUGGCAAGAUUGGCGUUGCUUCAAAGAUUUCUUUGUCUGCAGGUGGUGUGUGUGUUCCAGAUGUGUUGAUUGAUCACGGUUGGAUCCGCUUGGCAGAAGGGAAAUGGGUAAAGAGAGAGUGAGGCCAGUGCAUUGUGUGGUGCGGUGGAUUUUUAAGGACA